rnacentral:rRNA from 1 species
GUGGGGAGCAAACAGGAUUAGAUACCCUGGUAGUCCACGCCGUAAACGAUGAGUGCUAAGUGUUAGGGGGUUUCCCCCUUUAGUGCUGCAGCUAACGCAUUAAGCACUCCGCUGGGGAGUACGACCGCAAGGUUGAAACUCAAAGGAAUUGACGGGGGCCCGCACAAGCGGUGGAGCAUGUGGUUUAAUUCGAAGCAACGCGAAGAACCUUACCAGGUCUUGACAUCCUUUGACAACUCUAGAGAUAGAGCUUUCCCUUCGGGGACAAAGUGACAGGUGGUGCAUGGUUGUCGUCAGCUCGUGUCGUGAGAUGUUGGGUUAAGUCCCGCAACGAGCGCAACCCUUAUUGUUAGUUGCCAUCAUUCAGUUGGGCACUCUAGCGAAACUGCCGGUGACAAACCGGAGGAAGGUGGGGAUGACGUCAAAUCAUCAUGCCCCUUAUGACCUGGGCUACACACGUGCUACAAUGGACAGUACAAUGAGCAGCGACACGGCGACGUGAAGCGAAUCUCAUAAAGCUGUUCUCAGUUCGGAUUGUAGGCUGCAACUCGCCUACAUGAAGCCGGAAUCGCUAGUAAUCGCGGAUCAGCACGCCGCGGUGAAUACGUUCCCGGGCCUUGUACACACCGCCCGUCACACCACGAAAGUUUGUAACACCCAAAGUCGGUGAGGUAACCUUCGGGAGCCAGCCGCCUAAGGUGGGAUAGAUGAUUGGGGUGAAGUCGUAACAAGGUAACCA